UGUCGCUCAGGAAGUAGAGCAGGGUCUGCAGCACCUCGCGGUUCUCGUCCGGCAUCAGGAUGAUGGCAGCCUGCACCGCCUGCAGCCGCUGCUCCUUCGCCACGACUGGGGGCACCGCUCGCGGUCAGUGCCUGGCCCCCGGGGCCAC